AAGCCCUCCCUAUCUAAUAUGGAAGGUUCUAUUGACUGCCUGGGAAUGCAGUGGCAUUUAGAGGGAGAAUAUGGGAGCCAUUCAAUCAAAUCUUCAUUGCAUUAUUAUUUAAGCUGUAGUUUAUAAACAAACCUUAUUGAUAACAAAAAAAAAUGAAAUCUCUAGGUCGUUUUGGGGACACUUAACACUAGAUAGCAGAGGACUUUGCCUCACAAGUAGUUGUUUCUACUUUUUAGAAUAUGGUACGUUUACAUGAAUUGGAGUGUAAACAAAGUAAAAUGCAUUGCAUUAAUGGACUAUUGCAUGUUUGCCUAUCAUUCUGAACCAAUGUGUUUUUGUUGUUUUCAGUCUCUGGCUUCUAAUAGAUCUGUGAAGACAUAGAAUGUGAUUGGAAUGGAAGCUCGGAGAAGGAGUCCCUGAUUGGCUGAAAGACUGGGCGGGUGCACAUACCAAACGAAUCGAUCCUGUCUCAAAUGAUGCAGGCAGAGGAUAGGAAGAAAAGGAGUUUCAGCAAGGGCGUGGCGGAGGAAUAUUGUCUAAGAGUGAGUAGGCCUGGACCUGACCGCACCUGAGCUCAUUAUCAUGACAACAUUAUACCUGUUGGCUGAAAAGUUAAGUGUUGCCCAAGUUUCUGUCAGCAAACUAACAACUGUGUCAUUUCAGGAGCGACCAAACGAGGACACUGUAAAAAUGAAGAACAAAGUGACAAGCACACAAGCAGUGAGGGGUAAGAAGAAGGCAUGGUCGUGGGAUCAAUACCUGGGAGAGAAGAAGGUCAUAGCAGCUCCCCUAAGACUCUUCACUGAGGUAAGCAUCACCUUCAUCAACCAGUAGGUAUAUAGUGCAUUCGGAAAGUAUUUUUGUUACGUUACAGCCUUAUUCUAAAAUUGAUUCAAUUGUUGUUUUUUCCCCAUCAAUCUACACACAAUACCUCAUAAUGACAAAGCAAAAAUCUAGUCAAAAUAAAUAAAUAUCACAUUUUACAUUAGAAUUCAGAUCCUUUGCUCAGUACUUUGUUGAAGCACCUUUGGCAACUUGAGGCUGUUAUCAUUUUCUUGGGUAUCAAGCUAUAAGCUUGGCACACUUGUAUUUGGGGAGUUUCUCCCAUUCUUCUCUGCAGAUCCUCUCAAGCUCUGUCAGGUUGGAUGGGGAGUGUCGCUGCACUGCUAUUUUCAGGUCUUUCCAGAUAUGUUUGAUCGGUUUCCAGUCCGGGCUCUGGCUUGGUCACUCAAAGACAUUCAGAGACUUGCCCCGAACCACUCCCACAUUGUCUUGGCUGUGUGCUUCAGGUCGUUGUCCUGUUGGAAUGUCUGGAGUGCUCUGAAGCAGGUUUUCAUCAAUGAUCUCUCUGUACUUUCCUCUGUUCUUCUUUCCCUCGAUCCUGACUAGUCUCCCAGUCCCUGCCGCUGAAAAACAUCCCCACAGCAUGAUGCUGCCACCACCAUGCCUCACGGUAGGGAUGGUGUCAGGUUUCCUCCAGACGUGACACUUGGAAUUCAGGCUAAAGAGUUCAAUCUUGGUUUCAUCAGACCAGAGAAUCUUGUUUCUCAUGAUCCGAGAGACGUUUAGGUGCCUUUUGGCAAACCCCAAGCGGGCUGUCAUGUGCCUUUUAUUGAGGAGUUUAUUUUUGUAAUUUUAUUUCACCUUUAUUUAACCAGGUAGGCUAGUUGAGAACAGGUUCUCAUUUACAACUGCAACCUGGCCAAGAUAAAGCAUAGCAGUGUGAACAGACAACAACACAGAGUUACACAUGGAGUAAACAAUAAACAAGUCAAUAACAGAGUAGGAAAAAAAGAGUCUAUAUACAUUGUGUGCAAAAGGCAUGAGGAGGUAGGCAUUAAAUAGGCCAUAGGAGCGAAUAAUUAGAAUUUAGCAGAUUAACACUGGAGUGAUAAAUGAUCAGAUGGUCAUGUGCAAGUAGAGAUACUGGUGUGCAAAAGAGCAGAAAGUAAAUAAAUAAAAACAGUAUGGGGAUGAGGUAGGUAAAUUGAGUGGGCUAUUUACAGAUGGACUAUGUACAGCUGCAGCGAUCGGUUAGCUGCUCAAAUAGCAGAUGUUUGAAGUUGGUGAGGGAGAUAAGUCUCCAACUUCAGCAAUUUUUGCAAUUCUUUCCAGUCACAGGCAGCAGAGAACUGGAACGAAAGGCGGCCAAAUGAGGUGUUGGCUUUAGGGAUGAUCAGUGAGAUACACCUGCUGGAGCGCGUGCUACGGGUGGGUGUUGCCAUCGUGACCAGUGAACUGAGAUAAGGCGGAGCUUUACCUAGCAUGGACUUGUAGAUUACCUGGAGCCAGUGGGUCUGGCGACGAAUAUGUAGCGAUAUGAGUCUGGAAGGAGAGUUUACAGUCUAGCCAGACACCUAGGUACAUAUAGAUGUCCACAUAUUCUAGGUCGGAACCAUCCAGGGUGGUGAUGCUAGUCGGGCAUGCGGGUGCAGGCAGCGAACGGUUGAAAAGCAUGCAUUUGGUUUUACUAGCGUUUAAGAGCAGUUGGAGGCCACGGAAGGAGUGUUGUAUGACAUUGAAGCUCGUUUGGAGGUUAGAUGGCACAGUGUCCAAGGAAGGGCCAGAGGUAUACAGAAUGGUGUCGUCUGCGUAGAGGUGGAUCAGGGAAUCGGCCGCAGCAAGAGCAACAUCAUUGAUAUAUACAGAGAAAAGAGUCGGCCCGAGAAUUGAACCCUGUGGUACCCCCAUAGAGACUGCCAGAGGACCGGACAACAUGCCUUCCGAUUUGACACACUGAACUCUGUCUACAAAGUAGUUGGUGAACCAGGCAAGGCAGUUAUUAGAAAAACAGAGGCUACUGAGUCUGCCGAUAAGAAUAUGGUGAUUGACAGAGUCGAAUGCCUUGGCCAGGUCGACGAAGACGGCUGCACAGUACUGUCUUUUAUUGAUGGUGGUUAUGAUAUCGUUUAGUACCUUGAGCGUGGCUGAGGUGCACCCGUGACCGUCUUGGAAACCGGAUUGCACAGCGAAGAAGGUACUGUCGGAUUCGAGAUGGUCAGUGAUCUGUUUGUUAACUUGGCUUUCGAAGACCUUAGAUAGGCAGGGCAGGAUGGAUAUAGGUCUAACAGUUUGGGUCUAGGGUGU
ensembl:lncRNA